AUGGGAGUAACGUUGGAUCAACAUGAAUACUUUAGGGAUUAUCGCUUGACACAAAAAGGGAAACUAUUAUGGGAUCAAAUUUAUAUAUUGAAGUGGUAUGCUAGACAACUAUGCUCGGAAUAUGAUUAUACUUGUUGCUCUAGGAUGAAUUCUCCACACCUCCCCUUUUCAUGCAAAUUUAAUGAUAAUGUAAUCUCGGCUUCUUAUGAUAGAGGUAUAUAUGAUUACUAUGAUGUGGAACAAAUAGAAGAAUUUGUUGCUUUUAUGGGUGCUUAUGAAAUCGAAUCUAUGUUUAAAGAGUUUGAUGAUAUUGAUGAUGCUUGUUAUAGAUCUGAAAGUUUAGCUAUCCUCAAAUAUUUCUAUGAGAAUUAUGAAUACAAUUAUGAAAUUAAUGCACUUAUUAAGAAAGUCUUUGCUGUCCAAGAAGAGACUAAUAUUUUGCAGGAAUCUAUGGAAGAAGAAGUUGAUGACACUGUGAGCUCAUUGGAUGAAAAAGAUGAGGAGGAGAGUGAAGAACAAAAGGAGGAACAGCGGAUUGAUCACCCGUGCCCACCUUCUAAUGAGAGUAACUCUUCAACUCAUACAUUGUUUAAUUCCCCUUCGUGCUUACCGAAGGAUGGUUGCUAUGAUGACUGUUAUGAUCCCUAUGAUUCUUUUGAAAUAUCCCUUUUUGAUGAUGCUUGCUAUGCUUGUGGCCAAGAUGCCAAUAUGAAUUAUGCUUAUGGAGAUGAACUUGCUAUAGUUCCUUAUGUUAAACAUGAAAUUGUUGCUAUUGCACCCACGCAUGAUAGUCCUAUUAUCUUUUUGAAUUCUCCCGACUACACUAUAUCGGAGAAGUUUGCACUUAUUAAGGAUUAUAUUGAUGGAUUGCCCUUUACCAUUGCACAUGAUGAUUUCGAUAAAGAUAAUAUGCAUGUGCUUGCUGCUCCUACUUGA
rnacentral:rRNA from 1 species